UGCUUUAUACUUGAGUAAAAUGAUGUAAUAUUGGAUUAUGAAAAAGAUCUUUUGAUUUCCUGAGAAUAUGUCAAGCCUCAUGAAGAUAAAUGCACUAGGUUCUGUUGUGGAGCAUUUAGAGGGUCAACUACUUUGGUUCUUGAAGACUCUCUAGCUAAACUGGAAAGAAUAUGGCAUAAAACUAAUGGCCCACCAAUUUUUGUAUAGAAAUCCAUUGAGUUACUUCAUGUUUGAAGCUAUAGAGAUUUAUUGUUUGAUAUAGG
rnacentral:misc_RNA from 1 species